rnacentral:rRNA from 1 species
GAUGAACGCUGGCGGCGUGCCUAAUACAUGCAAGUCGAGCGAACAGACGAGGAGCUUGCUCCUCUGAUGUUAGCGGCGGACGGGUGAGUAACACGUGGAUAACCUACCUAUAAGACUGGGAUAACUUCGGGAAACCGGAGCUAAUACCGGAUAACAUGUUGAACCGCAUGGUUCAACAGUGAAAGACGGUCUUGCUGUCACUUAUAGAUGGAUCCGCGCCGCAUUAGCUAGUUGGUAAGGUAACGGCUUACCAAGGCAACGAUGCGUAGCCGACCUGAGAGGGUGAUAGGCCACACUGGAACUGAGACACGGUCCAGACUCCUACGGGAGGCAGCAGUAGGGAAUCUUCCGCAAUGGGCGAAAGCCUGACGGAGCAACGCCGCGUGAGUGAAGAAGGUCUUCGGAUCGUAAAACUCUGUUAUUAGGGAAGAACAAAUGUGUAAGUAACUAUGCACGUCUUGACGGUACCUAAUCAGAAAGCCACGGCUAACUACGUG